GGGGGAUUGNGACCNCCGCCCCCAAGAUUCCUUACCGGGAGGCAGCAGUGGGGAAUUUUUCCCCCAAUGGGCGAAAGCCUGNACGGNAGCAAUACCCGCGUGAGGGAAGAAGGCUUUUGGGUUGUAAACCUCUUUUGUCAGGGAAGAAGAAUUGACGGUACCUGAAGAAAAAGCAUCGGCUAACUCCGUGCCAGCAGCCGCGGUAAUACGGAGGAGGCAAGCGUUAUCCGGAAUCAUUGGGCGUAAAGGGUCCGCAGGUGGCGAAUAAAGUCUGCUGUUAAAGACCGGGGCUUAACUCCGGAAAGGCAGUGGAAACUGAUUAGCUAGAGUACGGUAGGGGUAGAGGGAAUUCCCAGUGUAGCGGUGAAAUGCGUAGAUAUUGGGAAGAACACCGGUGGCGAAAGCGCUCUACUAGGCCGAAACUGACACUGAGGGACGAAAGCUAGGGUAGCGAAAGGGAUUAGAUACCCCUGUAGUCUUAGCGGUA
rnacentral:rRNA from 1 species